rnacentral:lncRNA from 1 species
CACACACACAUACACUAGAAGCAAUGGAAUAAUUAAGAAAUAGCUUUUUAUGUGUGUAUUUUUUUUUUCCCCUUGGCACUGGGGAUUACACCCAGGGGCACCUUACUGGUAAUCACAUCCCCAGCCCCUUUUUGUUUGAGAUGGUCUCACUAAAUUGCCUAGGCUGCCUUCAAAUGUGAAAUCCUCUUACCUUAGCCUCCCAAGUCGCUGGGAUUAUAGACAGCACCACUACGCUUGGACAUAUAUAAAAUCUAGGCUGUGUAUGUGUGGCUUUGAUUUGAGGAUCUUAUAGGUUAGAAGGGAAAGUCAUGAUACAAUUUGGGGCACACAAUUUGAAAUGGUAAAACAGUCAUUUGUACAUUUGAAUUCUCAGUUAACUAUCAGUCACAAGUUUCUAUGUGCUAAAAUUCAGGUACCUUAGAAGUCACAGGAAUCAAUGAAACCAGACAGCACUCCUAAAGGUUAGGUUUGGGGUAGAAGGUUGUUUUUUAUGGUGCUGGGGGUAGAACCCAAGGCUUUGUGCAUGCAAGGCAUGCAAGCAUUCUACCACUGAACUACAUCCCCAGCCUCUGAUUCUAACAUUUUUUAAAUGUAUAAUUUAACGUACUACGGUACAUAAAGGUUGAUGUCAUAAUUAUGUGCAUUUGCCUCUGUGAAAGGUUGAUGUCAUAAUUAUGUGCAUUUGCCUCUGUGACUGACCUGGACAUGUCUUCAGGACACAUCUCCAAGCAAAAUCUAAAAUCUACCCUGAUUCUAUCAGAUUCUUAGGGUAAAAUUUUUUCCAUGCCCAUACUCCUUUUUUAAAAUAAGUAUGAAUGGGUCAGCAAAAGAGAUCAUCAUGCUUUUAAAACGUAAUUAUUUUAAAGAAAAAUCCAUAACACUCAGUUUCUGAUAAAGGGACAUCCUUUUAAUGGGAAUAAACUAUAUUCUUCAUUUUGAAUUUGAAACUGUUAUGCUUUUUUAUAAUUGGGGCUAGUAACAAUUUCAGAACUAUAAGUGUAUAUAUGUAUGUGAUGAAAUUUGAGAUGACCUACCGUACUAUGAAAUACAAAUAUUGAACAUUUUGAUAAUUCAAGAUAAUUAGGUAAAUGUAGUUUCCAAGUCCUGUUAAAAUUUUAUCACAGGCUUUUGAACUAAUUCAUUUAUAACAAUAAAACAUUCUGUUAAUUAUAAAAAUAAAGUGUUUAUGGUUAGGUUAAUGCAAGAUUCUUUACAUACACACAAAAUUGUGUGCAGUUACUGAUCUAGUUAAAGCACCUUAGAGCUUCAAAGUGCCUUUUCAUUUAUCAGGCAAUUGGAGUGCCUUUUUUCUCAAUAUAAUUUAUGUCUUAGGGAUUUCUGUUAGAUCUGUUAGGUUGAGAGGGUUUUAAUGUAAAGAAUCUUGUUUUGCAGUGAUCUUGAUGGACAUCUAUUCUUGCAACAGACAUGUAUUAGACUAAGGACCAUAUAAUGGAGAAUGAAGCAUUUUAGAGAAUUAGCAGCUCAUAGUUUGGAUUAUAUAAUUUAUGACAUAGAUUAUAUAAUUAUAGCAAUUCUAAUUCAGGAUUAUUUUUCUUGAUAAAUUAUGACAAGUACCACCAAAUAUACUAAACAGUUCUACUAAGUAGG